CCUACGGGAGGCAGCAGUGGGGAAUAUUGCACAAUGGGGGAAACCCUGAUGCAGCGACGCCGCGUGAGUGAAGAAGUAUUUCGGUAUGUAAAGCUCUAUCAGCAGGGAAGAAAAUGACGGUACCUGAUUAAGAAGCCCCGGCUAACUACGUGCCAGCAGCCGCGGUAAUACGUAGGGGGCAAGCGUUAUCCGGAUUUACUGGGUGUAAAGGGAGCGUAGACGGCAGCACAAGUCUGGAGUGAAAUGCCUGGGCUUAACCCCGGAAUUGCUUUGGAAACUGGGCAGCUAGAGUGCAGGAGAGGUAAGUGGAAUUCCUAGUGUAGCGGUGAAAUGCGUAGAUAUUAGGAGGAACACCAGUGGCGAUGGCAGCUUACUGGACUGUAACUGACGUUGAGGCUCGAAAGCGUGGGGAGCAAACAGGAUUAGAUACCCCUGUAGUC
rnacentral:rRNA from 1 species